AAGAAUUUGCCUGGAUCCCAUCAACUCACCACAGCCCUUCCUAUAUGCAACCUCAUGGAGACCAUGGACCCCUCUGCCAUCCCACCCAUCUUUGAACCAAUGCAAACUGUCUUCAGAACUCAUGCCCUUACAUAAACAGGCUCUACAGGCAGAUCACCUGAGGUUGAAAGGUGAAGCCACCUGGACUUCUGGGUCCAGUAGAGACUUGGAGAACUUUUCUGUCUUACAAAAGGAUUGUAAAAUGCACCAAUCAGCACUCUGUAGCUAGGAUUGUAAAACGCACCAGUGUUCUGUAGCUAGCUAGAGGUUUGUAAAAUGCACCAAUCAGUGCUCUGUAGCUAGCCAGAGGUUCGUAAAAUGCACCAAUCAGUGCUCUGUAAAAACACACCAAUCAGUGCUCCGUAGCUAGCUAGAGGUUUGUAAAAUGAACCAAUCAGCACUCUGUAAAAUGGACCAAUCAGUGCUCUGUAAAAUGGACCAAUCAGCACUCUGUAAAAUGGACCAAUCCACUCUGUAAAAUGGACCAAAUGGGAGGGGACAACUCAGGGAAUAAAAGCUGGCCACCCCAGCCCUCAGCGGUAACCUGCUUAAGUCCCCUUCCAGGCUGUGGGAGGUUUGUUCUUUCGUUCUCCACAAUAAAUCUUGCUGCUGCUCAGUCUUGGGGUCCGCAUCACCUGUAAGAGCUGUAACACUCACUGUGAAGGUCACGCUUCAUUCCUGAAAUCAGCGAGACCAUGAACCCACUGGAAGGAACAAACUCCGGACACAAGGGCAGGAGUUUGAG
rnacentral:lncRNA from 10 species